rnacentral:rRNA from 1 species
CGCAAGCCUGAACGAGCGAUGCCGCGUGAGCGAUGAAGGCCUUCGGGUGUAAAGCUCAAAGGGGUGAGAAAGGGCAACUUGAUCGAACCCCAGUAAGCUCGGGCUAAGUUCGUGCCAGCAGCCGCGGUAAGACGAACCGAGCGAACGUUGUUCGGAAUCACUGGGCUUAAAGGGCGCGUAGGCGGGUGCUCAAGUCCGGGGUGAAAUCCCACAGCUCAACUGUGGAACUGCCUCGGAUACUGGGUGUCUCGAGGGUGGUAGGGGUAUGCGGAACUAUCGGUGGAGCGGUGAAAUGCGUUGAUAUCGAUAGGAACUCCGGUGGCGAAGGCGGCAUACUGGACCACUUCUGACGCUGAGGCGCGAAAGCCAGGGGAGCAAACGGGAUUAGAUACCCCGGUAGUCCUGGCCCUAAACGAUGGGAACUAGCUAGUAGGCUUCACAUGGGUUUACUGGCGAAGCAAAAGUGCUAAGUUCCCCGCCUGGGGAGUAUGGUCGCAAGGCUG